UACGAGUGCCUCAAGCGUUAUCCGGAAUCAUUGGGCGUAAAGCGUGUGCAGGCGGGCUGUCAAGUGGUGUAUGAAAGCUCCCGGCUCAACCGGGAAGGGUUAUGCCAGACUGACAGUCUUGAGUGCGAGAGAGGAGCGUGGAAUUCCGGGUGUAGUGGUGAAAUGCGUAGAGAUCCGGAGGAACCCCAGAGGCGAAGGCGGCGCUCUGGCUCGCAACUGACGCUCAGACACGACAGCAUGGGGAGCGAACGGG
rnacentral:rRNA from 1 species